rnacentral:lncRNA from 1 species
GUAAGAGUGGAGGUGUCUUCUGGAAUAGUGAAUCCUUCUUCUAUGAUGUCCCAUAUAUCUUGAGAGUGGAAGAAUGUCUUCAUUUUGACACUCCAGAAAUCAUAAUUUUCUCCUAUGAAAAUAGGUACUGGAAGUGAUGAUGUUUGAUUGGUAGUAGCCUUGAGUUGAGAAAAUAUUUUGGAGGUAGUACAAAAUGGGGUUAUAGUUUUGUUUAAGGAAGUUGAAAAUUUUAUCUACGCCCAGUAUAUGACCGAACGUAGCUCUGGUACCACUGUUAGUAUUUAAAGGUUGUGAAAGGAGUAGUUGAUAAGGUAGAGGAAAUGUGGAGAUAGUAGGAUGUAGAAGUAGUAGUUGGAAGAAGUGUUGUAGUUGUCUUAGUUGUUGUAGAUGUUGGCUUCUUGUCUACAUGCAUGAAAUGGUAGAGUUCAUGGGUAUUUAU